rnacentral:rRNA from 1 species
UUUAUUGGAGAGUUUGAUCCUGGCUCAGGAUGAACGCUGGCGGCGUGCCUAAUACAUGCAAGUCGAGCGAAUGAAUUAAGAGCUUGCUCUUAUGAAGUUAGCGGCGGACGGGUGAGUAACACGUGGGUAACCUGCCCAUAAGACUGGGAUAACUCCGGGAAACCGGGGCUAAUACCGGAUAACAUUUUGAACCGCAUGGUUCGAAAUUGAAAGGCGGCUUCGGCUGUCACUUAUGGAUGGACCCGCGUCGCAUUAGCUAGUUGGUGAGGUAACGGCUCACCAAGGCAACGAUGCGUAGCCGACCUGAGAGGGUGAUCGGC